rnacentral:rRNA from 1 species
GGACGGGUGAGUAACGCGUGGGUAACCUGCCUUAUACAGGGGGAUAACAGUCAGAAAUGGCUGCUAAUACCGCAUAAGCGCACAGAGCUGCAUGGCUCAGUGUGAAAAACUCCGGUGGUAUAAGAUGGACCCGCGUUGGAUUAGCUUGUUGGUGGGGUAACGGCCCACCAAGGCGACGAUCCAUAGCCGGCCUGAGAGGGUGAACGGCCACAUUGGGACUGAGACACGGCCCAGACUCCUACGGGAGGCAGCAUG